AGGGUUUUGGUAUUAAAAACAUAAAGGCAUAGUCUAGAGAUUUAAAUGCAUGUGACUCCUGUUGAGACUAAAUGUCAUUUGUUUGGAUAAGAAGUGAAGAGUGUAAGUGCUUUAAAUAGUCAGUGAAAACACAUGACAUGACUUAGCAUGGUCUGAUGUCUAAAAUCACCUCCCUCAGGUCUGUGGGAGUGUUUAACCACCAGCAUGACUAAAUAUGGGGCCAAACACUGAUGUCUGCACUCUGGAACAGGGGAGAACCCUGAUGAGGUCUGGAGAAGCUGCUGCACUCCACAGCUCAGGCUCCUGCUUCAGUUCACUGUGGGCUUGUAUGUGGUUGGGCCUCCCUCAUCUAAUCAGGAGUUGCCAUGCUCUUACCAGUCCCUGCUGUUCUGGGGAACAUCAGACUAGGUGUUUCCCUGUGGUAGGACUGGAUGCUGCAUGCUUGCUCCAAUUCCUUGAUAGGACAGAUGGAGAAAACAAGCCUGCUGCCUCUAGCCAGAAGCCUCUCCAUGGGCAGAAUGAUUCUCCUUUCUCAUCAGUCACCACAAUGAAAUAUUAAGAAUGUAUUUUACUCUGCAAAAAGUGUUUGUUGCACUAAUACAUUAUCAAGAUAUGUGAACAGUUCUAGAAUGUGAAAAAGUGCAUUAUUCUCUCUGGGAGCCAAAUAUAUACUUCAGCAAAGGUGGAUGUCUGGCCAUUCGGAUAUUCUGCAAGAUAUAUAUUAUCUGCAUCGCUCCUAUGGCAGAGUGAAAAAUGUUUAAUAUAAGUUUUUCAAGGCAUGAAAACAGUUCGGAAUUCAUCUUCCUGUGAAUAUAUGUUUGAAGGGAGCAUUUAAUAAAAGUGAAAAUCUAGAUUUCUUCUGAAAGCCU
rnacentral:lncRNA from 1 species